AUUGAACGCUGGCGGCAUGCCUUACACAUGCAAGUCGAACGGCAGCACGGACUUCGGUCUGGUGGCGAGUGGCGAACGGGUGAGUAAUGUAUCGGAACGUACCUUUCAGUGGGGGAUAACGUAGCGAAAGUUACGCUAAUACCGCAUAUUCUGUGAGCAGGAAAGCAGGGGAUCGCAAGACCUUGCGCUGAUUGAGCGGCCGAUAUCAGAUUAGCUAGUUGGUGAGGUAAAGGCUCACCAAGGCGACGAUCUGUAGCGGGUCUGAGAGGAUGAUCCGUCACACUGGAACUGAGACACGGUCCAGACUCCUACGGGAGGCAGCAGUGGGGAAUUUCGGACAAUGGGGGCAACCCUGAUCCAGCCAUGCCGCGUGAGUGAAGAAGGCCUUCGGGUUGUAAAGCUCUUUCGGCCGGGAAGAAAUCGCAUAGGUUAAUACCCUGUGUGGAUGACGGUACCGGAAUAAGAAGCACCGGCUAACUACGUGCCAGCAGCCGCCGUAAAAC
rnacentral:rRNA from 1 species